GCCAGUGUGAUGUAGUUGCUUAAGUGUUGGACUAUGACUCUGGAGACCAGGGUUCGAAUCCCUGCUCAGCCA